GGGUCCUACGGGAGGCAGCAGUGGGGAAUAUUGCACAAUGGGGGAAACCCUGAUGCAGCGACGCCGCGUGAGUGAAGAAGUAUUUCGGUAUGUAAAGCUCUAUCAGCAGGGAAGAAAUACUGACCUUACGGUCAGCAGACGGUACCUGACUAAGAAGCCCCGGCUAACUACGUGCCAGCAGCCGCGGUAAUACGUAGGGGGCAAGCGUUAUCCGGCUUUACUGGGUGUAAAGAGGGCGUAGUCGGCGGCGCAAGUCUGUAGU
rnacentral:rRNA from 1 species